rnacentral:rRNA from 1 species
GAUGAACGCUGGCGGCGUGCCUAAUACAUGCCAGUCGAGCGAACAGACGAGGAGCUUGCUCCUCUGACGUUAGCGGCGGACGGGUGAGUAACACGUGGAUAACCUACCUAUAAGACUGGGAUAACUUCGGGAAACCGGAGCUAAUACCGGAUAAUAUAUUGAACCGCAUGGUUCAAUAGUGAAAGACGGUUUUGCUGUCACUUAUAGAUGGAUCCGCGCCGCAUUAGCUAGUUGGUAAGGUAACGGCUUACCAAGGCGACGAUGCGUAGCCGACCUGAGAGGGUGAUCGGCCACACUCGAACUGAGACACGGUCCAGACUCCUACGGGAGGCAGCAGUAGGGAAUCUUCCGCAAUGGGCGAAAGCCUGACGGAGCAACGCCGCGUGAGUGAUGAAGGUCUUCGGAUCGUAAAACUCUGUUAUUAGGGAAGAACAAAUGUGUAAGUAACUAUGCACGUCUUGACGGUACCUAAUCAGAAAGCCACGGCUAACUACGUG